rnacentral:rRNA from 1 species
GUCCUUUUGUUUAUUAAUUUAAGGUCUGGCCUGCCCACUGAAAUUUAAAUGGCCGCAGUAUUUUGACUGUGCAAAGGUAGCAUAAUCAUUAGUUUUUUAAUUAAAAGCUUGUAUGAAGGGUUGGACGAAGUAAAAUCUGUCUCUAUUUAAUUUAUAUUAAAAUUUAAUUUUUAAGUUAAAAAGCUUAAAUAUUAUUAAAAGACGAGAAGACCCUAUAGAUCUUUAUAUUUUAUUUAUUAAUUUUAAUAUAGAAAUUUUUAUUUUUUAAUAAUAAAAAUAUUUUAUUGGGGUAAUAAAGAGAUUAAUUAAAUUCUUUUUAAAAAAUUACAUUAAUUUAUGAUUAAGUGAUCCAAUUUUUUUGAUUAUAAGAUUAAGUUACCUUAGGGAUAACAGCGUAAUUUUUUUUGAGAGUUCAUAUCGAUAAAAAAGUUUGCGACCUCGAUGUUGGAUUAAAAAUUAUCCUAGGUGCAGAAGUUUAGGAUUUUGGUCUGUUCGACCAUUAAAUUUUUACA